rnacentral:rRNA from 1 species
AGAGUUUGAUCCUGGCUCAGGAUGAACGCUAGCGACAGGCUUAACACAUGCAAGUCGAGGGGCAUCAUGAGGUAGCAAUACCUUGAUGGCGACCGGCGCACGGGUGAGUAACGCGUAUGCAACCUGCCCGAUACCGGGGUAUAGCCCAUGGAAACGUGGAUUAACACCCCAUAGUACUUUUAUCCUGCAUGGGAUGUGAGUUAAAUGUUCAAGGUAUCGGAUGGGCAUGCGUCCUAUUAGUUAGUUGGCGGGGUAACAGCCCACCAAGACGAUGAUAGGUAGGGGUUCUGAGAGGAAGGUCCCCCACAUUGGAACUGAGACACGGUCCAAACUCCUACGGGAGGCAGCAGUGAGGAAUAUUGGUCAAUGGACGUAAGUCUGAACCAGCCAAGUCGCGUGAGGGAAGACUGCCCUAUGGGUUGUAAACCUCUUUUAUAAGGGAAGAAUAAGUUCUACGUGUAGAAUGAUGCCUGUACCUUAUGAAUAAGCAUCGGCUAACUCCGUGCCAGCAGCCGCGGUAAUACGGAGGAUGCGAGCGUUAUCCGGAUUUAUUGGGUUUAAAGGGUGCGUAGGCGGUUUAUUAAGUUAGUGGUUAAAUAUUUGAGCUAAACUCAAUUGUGCCAUUAAUACUGGUAAACUGGAGUACAGACGAGGUAGGCGGAAUAAGUUAAGUAGCGGUGAAAUGCAUAGAUAUAACUUAGAACUCCGAUAGCGAAGGCAGCUUACCAGACUGUAACUGACGCUGAUGCACGAGAGCGUGGGUAGCGAACAGGAUUAGAUACCCUGGUAGUCCACGCCGUAAACGAUGCUCACUGGUUCUGUGCGAUAUAUUGUACGGGAUUAAGCGAAAGUAUUAAGUGAGCCACCUGGGGAGUACGUCGGCAACGAUGAAACUCAAAGGAAUUGACGGGGGCCCGCACAAGCGGAGGAACAUGUGGUUUAAUUCGAUGAUACGCGAGGAACCUUACCUGGGUUUAAAUGGGAAAUGCCGUAUUUGGAAACAGAUAUUCUCUUCGGAGCGUUUUUCAAGGUGCUGCAUGGUUGUCGUCAGCUCGUGCCGUGAGGUGUCGGGUUAAGUCCCAUAACGAGCGCAACCCUUACCGUUAGUUGCUAACAGGUAAUGAUGAGGACUCUAACGGGACUGCCACCGUAAGGUGAGAGGAAGGCGGGGAUGACGUCAAAUCAGCAC